UUGAAUACCAAGAACAGACGAACAAUUUGCACUCUGAUGGGAUAAUAAUUAACAACGCCUGUCAGCAUCGGCGAAGAAACAAACUUUGAACAAAAAUCCGUCUGGUACGGAGAAAAUCGGUCUGAACACCGCACAUCCCCUCGGGAGUAUUAUUCUUUCUUCUUAUUCUUUUCUUGAACCCCGAAAUUUUCUUUAUCUUUUUUCAUUUUCUUG
rnacentral:lncRNA from 1 species